AUUUCUUUUUAAUUUUGUUUUGGUGGGAAGGAAAUUUAUGAGAAAGUUGAGUUGCUCGCUUACAAUCUCUCUUUAGUUGCUCUCUUGUAGAGGUGUUUUAGUCUCGUGCGCGGCGAAGGUUCGAAACCUGCUGCGUAUAAACAUUUCUGGUCUACAGUUCGAAUCCCCAGGAGCUUAGGCAACAGGUUGAUAAGAUAACAUGGAUUCUUCAUAUCUUAUUCCACCUGCAAAGCGUAGCUAUGAUUGGGAACCUUCUGAAGCCAAUGGCAGAGAAAAGCGGCGGCCUUCAGCAACUUCUUGGGGCCCACCACCUCUGAAGAUAGGUCCCGAUGAAACAAUUUUCCGCAUUCUUUGUAAUGGGUCUAAGACUGGAGGUGUCAUUGGAAAAGGAGGUAGCAUUGUGAAGCAAAUAAGGCAGGAAACAGGUGCUAAGAUUAGAAUUGAAGAGGGUGUUCCUGGUUGCGAUGAGAGAGUAGUUGUUAUUGUGGCACCUGAAAAGGAGAAAAAAGAAGGCAAGGAAGAAAAUGUGGUAGCUGAGAGCAAUACACAGAUAAAGGAAGAUGCCAAUGAGGAUACUGAUGAAAAGGAACAAGACGAAACUGAGGCAGAUGAAAAGGCACCUGAAACUGAUAAAGAGGCAAAAAAAGAGAAAGCAUUAGCUCCAGCACAAGAGGCAUUGCUUCGAGUUCUUCACAGGAUACUAGAGGGAGAGUCUGAUGCAAAGACUGACGAGGAUGCCGACAAAAAAACAGCUCCAGUAAUUGCUCGAUUGCUGGUUCCUACCAAUCAAGUUGGUUGUGUGCUUGGCAAAGGCGGAAAGAUUAUUCAACAAAUUCGUGCAGAAAGUGGUGCACAAAUCCGUAUUCUUUCAAGAGAACAGCUGCCAGCAUGUGCCUUACCCACUGACGAAGUGGUGCAGAUUACAGGAGAUGUAGCUUCUGUUAAAAAGGCUCUUUUAUCUGUUUCCGAUCGCCUUCGUGAGAAUCCUCCUCGUGAUAGGGAUCACAUGCCUGCCUCUAGAUCUGGAGGUCCUUUCGCACAUGGGGAUUUAUUUCCUUCUCGAAAGAGUUCCUCACUGGUUCAAGGGCUUCCAUUUGGUGGUGUUGGGUCAGGUGCCACUGUUGACUAUCAUUUGAAGGGUCCAGUUUCCAAGUUUCAUGAAGCUGGUCCUAAUUACAAUCAGAGAGGACCUAUGCAGGAGGAAAUUACAUUUCGAUUGUUGUGUUCAAAUGAAAAGGUUGGAGGCAUCAUUGGAAAGGGAGGUAGUAUAAUAAAGGGUCUUCAACGGGAUACAGGUUCUGACAUUAAAAUUGCGGAGUCUGUACCUGAUGAAGAUGAACGAGUUGUCAUAAUUACGGCAUCUGCGUUUUCAGAAGGAGGGCUUUCUCCUGUUCAGAAUGCUGUCCUUCGUGUUUUUAAUCGGAUUAUCAGUUCCGUGCCAGAGAAAGAUAAGCAUUCAACUGCUAGACUUCUUGUGCCCUCCAACCAGAUUGGGUGCUUGCUUGGAAAAGGUGGUAGCAUAAUAUCUGACAUGAGAAGAGCAAGUGGAGCAGGUAUCCGAAUUUUUGGAAAAGAUCAGCUUCCAAAGUGUGCUUCGCAAAAUGAUGAAGUUGUUCAGGUAACUGGUGAUCCAGAGGCAGUUCAAGAAGCACUUGUCCAAAUCACCUCACGCUUGCAAAACAAUUUAUUCCCGGGUAACACAGGUCCAAUUGGAGGUGUUGGAAUGUACCCUGAGCCCAUGGCUCCAGUUCCUGGUCCAAUAGCGCAAUAUAGGGGAAGACCUGAACCUGCAUCCCCUCCUGGAAUGUACUCCCGGCUAGGUGGAUCUAUGCAGGACAUGGAUCAAUCAGGUAGACUUCCCCCAACUGUUGAUCGCCCAGGUUUCCCUCCCAGCAUUCAUCGACCAGGAGGAAUGCCUCACAAUAUUGAUCAGCCACCUUCUCCAGGACCAUGGGCGAUGCAGGGUAUGAACAGUGGCAGUGGAAGGAAUAUUACUGACUAUGGGAGAGGAUAUCCUCAAAGAGGAAGUUUGGGGAGUGGAAGUCAAUCAGCUGUUGUAACAAGCACAACUGUUGAGGUGGUGGUUCCUGAACGUGUCAUUGGAUCUAUCUAUGGGGAAAAUGGGAGCAACCUAGCUCAGAUUCGUAAGAUUUCUGGGGCAAAAGUUAUAAUGCAUGACCCAAGACCUGGAGCUACUGAAGGUUUGGUUGUAAUAUCUGGGACGCCAGAACAAACUCAUGCUGCCCAAAGCCUUCUUCAAGCAUUUAUUAUGAGUGGGCAAUCCUCACCAUGAUUAUGUACCUUUGUUAAAGAAUGGAUGAUCCAAAACGACUGUUUUAUGUUUGAAAUCUUGCCUGCUGCUGAAUACUUCACUCGGACAAUCAUUGGUUUUGCAAUUUGAUGCUCUAUCCAAGCCUGAAAUUAUAGUCUUCACUUGGAUUCUGUAGUGGAGUAUUUUACUCUCAGUCUACAUUUACAAUAUAGACAGUACAAACUGUUUGGUGUUACAACCUUGACAAUUUCAUUGGCUUCAAGAAAAGUCAUCUAGGAAAUGUGAGGAUAUCUUGGAUAUUUGAGUCUCUUUGUAAUUGCAGGGGUUUACUGGAAUACCCUACUAGGCCAAAGCAUAAGCUUAAUUAUUUAGUGUCGAAAGAUGCCACUAACAAAAUUGUGCUGAUUAGCAUGAGGAUGACACAGCUUUGUCUGUGGCAUGAAAAUGGAAAAUGAGGUUGGAUCAUGAGUCUUGAUAUCAAAAGUGUUGAUUCAUUAACCCAUGUUUGCUUCAGCUAAUGCUAGAAAUUAAUGCUAUUUUAGAGAUGGUAGGCUCUAUUCAAUUAUUGUAGAAUUAAUAGUGUAUCCUUAAAAUGAUCAAUUUUUUGGGAGUAGGGAUCUAUUUUUUGGAUAUGCGGGAUGUAAUUUUGUAAAUAAAUUGUACUGUCUCGUCCACAUUGGCCAGCAAAAUCAAAUGAUGAGUUAGUUGAAACCCUCUACCAAAAUAGGAACCACUUUAAAAAUGAUUUGGUAGGCAAGACACAUUGAGGUCAAGUGCUUGCUCUUGCCACGUGGCAUUUUUUCUUUUGGAUUUUUAAGUAGUUUUCACUCCUUUAGUCAAAGGUACUACUGUUUGUAGUGAGUCAUAAGAUCAUUGAGUACAAUCUUUUAAUAAUCCUUCCUUGGUCAAUGAUUUUAAGUACUUAUCUCUCCAUUAUCCUAAGUUACUACAAUUUUAACUGCACCUCUUUUUUUCAUGUCUCCAUUUUCUGGGACUGAAUGUUUAUGUUUCGUGUUUGUAUGCCUAGUUAUUUUUCAUCAUGUUCUCUUCAUUUUCCUCUCGCCAUCGAGUGCAUCUAUUCUUCUAUAUUUGUAGGUCAAUAAUAAAUAUCAUUUGCAAAAGCCUUUAUGGUUGCCAUCUCUCUAAAAUGGUAUUUGAAGUUAUUAUUUUUUUCUAAGAGUUGUGUUUGCUAGUUACCAUUUCUUUGCCUGGAGCCACAGAGCGAACAGCUUUGCCAAAAUUAUAUUACAUGAUUAUCAAACCCUAUUUAUAUUCUUGUUUAUAUACCAUUGCAUUUAAGUCUGUUAGUAUCAAUGAGCUUUUAUUGCGAUCUUUAAAGAUUAUUAAAUAUGAAAUUUGAGUUGUGUUGCUAUACAUAUUUUAAACAUUUCUUCCACUUUAUCCGAUAAUGGAGGCUUUGGAUGACAUAAAUUUAUAGAUUAAAAACAUUUCUAAGAGGAGUGCAAUGUAGUGAGCUAAAAUUUAUAAUGUUUGUUUAGUGAAGCAUUGUGGUGGCAAAUUCUGUCAAAGGACCCAUCUGCAACAAGACUUGCAAUCUUUCCUUUGUUGAUGUGACCUGGAAGAAACAAGCUUUUUUAUUAAAGGGGAGGAUUGAUUCAGCAUGUGAAUGGCCAGCCUACCUUCAAUUUGCUAUGUUUUAUUCUUAACUUCGUAUUAGUUUCUUUUUGGAAAUAUUUGUAUGUAUAAGAUUGUUUUCCUAAUUGUAAAUUCACCUGUCUUGUGGAGUUCUUAUGCAAGGUUGCAAUCUAGUCAAGUGAACUGAAUUUUCUUGUGAA